UCUUCUUCUUCUUCUUCUUCUUCUUCUUCUCUUUUCUAUACAAAAUGUCUACUUGUGGUGCUAGCUAUAGUAACGUCAAAGAUAUCCUAUUAUCUCAAGUUUGUAUGCAAAUUUCACAAAACCCAGUCAUUAGGGUACAAGAAUCAUCAAAAAAUUCAAGGGCUACAAAGAAGAAAAAAAGCAAAGUUGGGAAUAUCGUACAGUAAGAUCGUUGCAAACUCAUAUUCAAAGUAUCUUGAAAGCAAUUAAGAAAUUGCAUGGUUGCAUAAGUGCAAUUGAAAGUAGGCAUCAAAGCAGUGCCUCAAAUGCUAAUAUAAUGCAACAAGCUGAAGAGUUGCUCAAAGAAAAUCAAAACUACAAGUUUGGUUGGAAAUUCAACCAUGUAUGGCACAUUCUUAAAGAUUUAGAAAAUUUUCAAGAUGGUACUCAAAGCUCCAGACAACAUCCACGUGGAAAUCCUUCUUCUGAAUCUGAAACUCGAACUCCUAAUUCGUUAGACUUAUGGUAGUUCUUCAUCAUCAAGACCCAUCGGAGUAAAGAAAGCAAAAAUGAAGAAAAAGCAGUUCGAAGAUACGACAUCUUUAAUUGCCGCAAUGCAAAAACAUAAUGAGCAACUUGCAGAGGAUAUGAAGACAACAAAUGCACGAAUGAAAUGUCAUUUGGCCAUUCAAGCUAAAAGUUACGCACUUAAGGAAAUGAAGGAAGAAAAUAAAAUUCUAUAUAUGGACUUGAGCUCCAUUCAAGAUCCACAUGUUCGUGCAUUUACUGAAGUUGAAAGAAGACACAUUUUACAGAAAAGAGCCCAACAACAAGGUCAAACAAAUCCUUUUGAAGCUGGAACAUAUUCUUCAUAUUUCAAUAAUAUUGGAGGAUCUGGUUCCGGUCUACCAGAUUAUUAGAUUAGAAUUAUUAGAUUAAUUUUGUAUUUCUCAUGUAGUUUAAAUAUUUGUGUUUGCUUGAUUUUCAAAUCAUGUUAUUUUUAUGUCAUGUGGUAUUUAUAUUAUUAAUAUUGUUUUAAA